rnacentral:rRNA from 1 species
UACGUAGGGUGCGAGCGUUGUCCGGAAUUAUUGGGCGUAAAGGGCUCGUAGGCGGUCUGUCGCGUCGGGAGUGAAAACUCAGGGCUUAACCCUGAGCCUGCUUCCGAUACGGGCAGACUAGAGGUAUGCAGGGGAGAACGGAAUUCCUGGUGUAGCGGUGGAAUGCGCAGAGAUCCGGAAGAACACCGGUGGCGAAGGCGGCCUGCUGGGCUAUGGCUGACACUGAGGCGCGACAGCGUGGGGAGCAAACAGG